CUCGCCCUUCGGGGGGCCGCUGGCCCUGCAAAACCUGUCAGGUUUUGUCGAACCCUGCGAGGGUUCUCACCCUCCCGGCAGGA
rnacentral:tRNA from 1 species